ACGGAGGGUGCAAGCGUUAUCCGGAUUUACUGGGUUUAAAGGGUGCGCAGGCGGUAAUUUAAGUCAGUGGUGAAAGCCUACAGCUCAACUGUAGAACUGCCAUUGAUACUGGAUUACUUGAGUGUGGUAGAGGUAGGCGGAAUGAGUCAUGUAGCGGUGAAAUGCAUAGAUAUGACUCAGAACACCGAUUGCGAAGGCAGCUUACUAAACCAUUACUGACGCUCAUGCACGAAAGCGUGGGGAGCGAACAGG
rnacentral:rRNA from 1 species